AUUGAACGCUGGCGGCAUGCCUUACACAUGCAAGUCGAACGGUAACAGGUUAAGCUGACGAGUGGCGAACGGGUGAGUAAUAUAUCGGAACGUGCCCAGUCGUGGGGGAUAACGUAGCGAAAGCUACGCUAAUACCGCAUACGAUCUACGGAUGAAAGCGGGGGAUCGCAAGACCUCGCGCGAUUGGAGCGGCCGAUAUCAGAUUAGGUUGUUGGUGAGGUAAAAGCUCACCAAGCCUGCGAUCUGUAGCUGGUCUGAGAGGACGACCAGCAACACUGGAACUGAGACACGGUCCAGACUCCUACGGGGGGCAGCAGUGGGGAAUUUUAGACAAUGGGCGCAAGUCUGAUCCAGCAACGCCGCGUGCAGGACGAAGGCCUUCGGGUUGUAAACUGCUUUUGUACGGAACGAAACGGUGAGCUCUAAUACGGUUUGCUAAUGACGGUACCGUAAGAAUAAGCACCGGCUAACUACGUGCCAGCAGCCGCCGCGG
rnacentral:rRNA from 1 species